rnacentral:misc_RNA from 1 species
GAUGAAGAACGUAGCGAAAUGCGAUAAGUAAUGUGAAUUGCAGAAUUCAGUGAAUCAUCGAAUCUUUGAACGCACAUUGCGCCCGCCAGUAUUCUGGCGGGCAUGCCUGUCUGAGCGUCAUUUCAACCCUCAUGCCCCUAGGGCGUGGUGUUGGGGAUCGGCCAAAGCCCGCGAGGGACGGCCGGCCCCUAAAUCUAGUGGCGGACCCGUCGUGGCCUCCUCUGCGAAGUAGUGAUAUUCCGCAUCGGAGAGCGAUGAGCCCCUGCCGUUAAACCCCCAACUUUCCAAGGUUGACCUCAGAUCAGGUAGGAAUACCCGCUGAACUUAAGCAUAUCAAUAAGCGGAGUA